rnacentral:rRNA from 1 species
GAUGAACGCUGGCGGCGUGCCUAAUACAUGCAAGUCGAACGAGGAGCCUUUGUAUUCGUACGAGGGUUUCCUAGUGGCGAACGGGUGAGUAACGCGUUGGUGACCUGCCCCGAAGAGGGGGAUAACUCCGGGAAACUGGAGCUAAUACCCCAUGUGGUCAUAAGGGUUGAAUACCUUAUGUCUAAAGGACUUCGGUUCGCUUCGGGAGGGGCCUGCGUCCCAUCAGCUAGUUGGUAGGGUAAUGGCCUACCAAGGCUGCGACGGGUAGGGGACCUGAGGGGUGACCCCCCACACUGGCACUGNAAACACGGGCCAGACACCUACGGGUGGCAGCAGUAGGGAGUAUUGCCCAAUGGACGAAAGUCUGAGGCAGCAACGCCGCGUGCGCGAAGAAGGCCUUCGGGUUGUAAAGCGCUUUUAUGAGGGAAGAGAAAGGACGGUACCUCAAGAAUAAGGAUCGGCUAACUACGUG